AAUCAACGCUGGCGGCAUGCCUAACACAUGCAAGUCGAGCGAGAAAGGGUAGCAAUACCUGAGUAAAGCGGCGCACGGGUGAGUAACACGUGGAUAACCUGCCUCAAAGUGGGGAAUAACACCGGGAAACCGGUGCUAAUACCGCAUAUUCUGACGAGAUCUGUGGAUUUUGCCAGGAAAGGAGCAAUUCGCUAUGAGAGGGGUCCGCGGCUGAUUAGCUAGNGGUGAGGUAACGGCUCACCAAGGCCACGAUCAGUAGCCGGUCUGAGAGGACGGUCGGCCACACUGGAACUGAGACACGGUCCAGACUCCUACGGGAGGCAGCAGUGGGGAAUUUUUCGCAAGUGGGGGCAACCCUGACGAAGCAAUGCCGCGUGGAUGAUGAAGUAUCUCGGU
rnacentral:rRNA from 1 species